rnacentral:rRNA from 1 species
UCCCCCAAGAGUUCACAUCGACGGGGAGGUUUGGCACCUCGAUGUCGGCUCAUCGCAUCCUGGGGCUGUAGUCGGUCCCAAGGGUUGGGCUGUUCGCCCAUUAAAGCGGUACGCGAGCUGGGUUCAGAACGUCGUGAGACAGUUCGGUCCCUAUCCGUCGUGGGCGUAGGAAAUUUGAGAGGAGCUGUCCUUAGUACGAGAGGACCGGGAUGGACAUACCUCUGGUGUACCAGUUGUCGUGCCAACGGCAUAGCUGGGUAGCUAUGUGUGGACGGGAUAAGUGCUGAAAGCAUCUAAGCAUGAAGCCCCCCUCAAGAUGAGAUUUCCCAACUUCGGUUAUAAGAUCCCUCAAAGAUGAUGAGGUUAAUAGGUUCGAGGUGGAAGCAUGGUGACAUGUGGAGCUGACGAAUACUAAUCGAUCGAAGACUUAAUCAAAA